rnacentral:rRNA from 1 species
UAACGCGAAGAACCUUACCAAGGCUUGACAUAUACCGAAAACUGGCAGAGAUGUCAGGUCCGCAAGGGCGGUAUACAGGUGGUGCAUGGUUGUCGUCAGCUCGUGUCGUGAGAUGUUGGGUUAAGUCCCGCAACGAGCGCAACCCUCGUUCUAUGUUGCCAGCGCGUUAUGGCGGGGACUCAUAGGAGACUGCCGGGGUCAACUCGGAGGAAGGUGGGGAUGACGUCAAAUCAUCAUGCCCCUUAUGUCUUGGGCUGCACACAUGCUACAAUGGCCGGUACAAAGGGCUGCGAUACCGCAAGGUGGAGCGAAUCCCAAAAAGCCGGUCUCAGUUCGGAUUGGGGUCUGCAACUCGACCCCAUGAAGUCGGAGUCGCUAGUAAUCGCAGACCAGCAACGCUGCGGUGAAUACGUUCCCGGGUCUUGUACACACCA